AUUAUGCAUUUGAGAUACUUAAAUUAAUUCAAAGCAUGCAUCUGCAACACGCUAUAAACAAGUGUCUGGUUUAAAUAUAGAUUUGAUAUAAGGGCAAGAAACUUCAUAAUCUACCCCUCUUCAGCAGGGCAGAUGUGAUGUGAAAAUGUUACCUAUGAGGCAAACUGGAACACAUACUCUAAACACAAGGACAAGGUGAAACAAUUUAAUCUGUUUCACAUAAAGAAAUUAUAUAUAAAAAUUAUGAAUUUCACUCAAUUCAUUCACAGGAAAACACUUGUGAAAUCUAUAGAAGGGAGACAAGAUUUAGUUUUACUGAAAUAACACUCAUCAACAUGAGAAAAGGUGAAAACCAGGUAGAAAAAGAAACAGCACAUAAUAAUUUCUUACUAAUGUAUCAUCUGAAGAGCACACCUUGGUUUUCUAUUAUAUACAUAUAUAGAUAAGAUUUUACUCAACAAUUGAAAUCAAUGUUAUUUAGGCAGAACAUGGAGAACCAUAAUAUUUUGGCAAUAG
rnacentral:misc_RNA from 1 species